AUUGCUUGCUCUGGUGUGCUGUUUUUCACCUACUCCACCAGGGCGGCAUCGGGGCCCCAGUUUCCUACUGAUCCCCACACCCACGCACUGUUCACCUGCUGCUCAUCACUGCUGACUGAUCCAGACAUUAGUCAAGACCUCAGUGGAUCGUGGCUCCUCACUGGAUCGUUGUACUUACCUUUAUGUCCCUGGACCUUUGCCUGUUUCCCUUGGACCCAACCUGGAUGAGUGCGAGUGUGUUUCUUGUCACGGACUGUAGGAAGAGGAGCGUGUAUCGGCUGCCCCAGACCCUCCCUUGGAAUCCCUGGAACUGUCAUCGCUGUAUAAAUAGUUCAGGUUUAGAGACACAGACGUAAAACGCAGGACUGUACAGCAUUCAGGAAAGUCACACGAUAUUAAAGUUUGUAAAAAUGAUUUAUUAUCAUGAUUUCAUAGUAAUGUUCACACGGUUGUUUUGUUUUUUCUCUUUCCCAGAUCUUUAUGAAGCUUCUGCAUUUGCCCAAACUUUACCUCUUUGUGAAGUUUGGUGAAACUGGGCAUGUUAUUGUGUAAUGAGUAAUAGAUGCCCUUGGCUCUCCUGGCAGAAAAAUAAAUAGGUGCACUUAAAGUCAUUUGGGAAAUGAUUAGUGAUAUUCCAUGAAACAGUGUGCAUUGUGUAACAUUGUGACUUUUCAUCAGGAAUCUCACCUUGCUCUGGGUCAUAUUCCCAUACAGGCACGAGAUUUUCAAGACCUUCUCUUGCUACCAUUGCUACCAUUCUGAGAUCUCGAGCACUGGAGCAGAUUCCAGUAAUGUUUACAAUGCAAUGAUUUAGCAUAUUCACACAUAUUUAAAAACAUAAAAGUCCACACUUGUCAGUCAAACAAGAAGUCUUCUCCAAGAAACCUGCAAGCUUGAGAGUCCUGCACAGUAGCUUUGCUGUUCCUAGGACAGAGAUCUCUGCGUCUGCAGGAGCCACUUGCCCAGUUUGGGGUCGGGUCAGUGACCAUGGGGAACACUGUUGCCUUCACACUCAUCAUGUGGAGCCCUUUUCUAGCACCUCUCACAGCCCUUUGUAAGUCUUGAGCUUCUUCCUGAUGUUGCAAUCAGUUGGUAUAACUACAUCAUUUCCCUCUGUUUGUCCACCACUAUUAUGUCUGCUUGGCUAGCAAUCACCAGUUUAUCCAUGUGG